rnacentral:RNase_P_RNA from 1 species
GAGAGUAGGCGAAGGUGGUUGCAGGCUUGCCAGUUGAGUAAGUUUGAGGAAAGUCCGGGCUUCCGAAAGACCAGACUUGCUGGGUAAUUCCCAGUGCGGGCAACCGUGAGGAUAGUGCCACAGAAAAAUACCGCCUUUUUUGGUAGUCAGUCAAUACCGAUCGCUGAAAAAGGUAAGGGUGCAAAGGUGCGGUAAGAGCGCACCAGCACGAUCGAGAGGUCGUGGCUCGGUAAACCCCAGUCGGAAGCAAGGUCGAAGGAACUAUGGUUGGUCUUUUUCCAGUUCCGUCGCAGUCUAGGUUCGCUGAGGCUGCUGAGGCUGCUGAGGCUGCUGAGGCUGCUGAGGCUGCUGAGGCUGCUGAGGCUGCUGAGGCUGCUGAGGUUGCUGAGGCUGCUGAGGCUGCUAAGGCUGCAAGGAGUACCGCUAGAGGCGGCUGGUAACAGUCGUCCCAGACAGAUAACCGCCCUCACGAGAGUAAUUCUUGUGGGAACAGAACCCGGCUUAUGUCCGACUCUCUCCU